GCCUAUUCUUCUUUUAAACCAAAAAAACUUUCAGAGGGUGUUUUCCCCGACGAGGAUGUUCCUGGCGGCCAGGUCCCGGUGGAUGUAAUUCUGCGACUCCAGUUUGUGAUGACGCGGGAGGAGCUGGACGCAGAAGGACCAGCGAAGAGGCUCAUGACUGCGUGAUGUAGGCAGUGGGAACUCGAACAGGAGAAUGGCUGUCAGCGGCUUGCGGCCUGGUGGUGCCUGUUUUACCCCACAUUCCCUCCCGGAGGACCCUGAAGGGCGUGGGGACUGUCUGAGAUGAUCAAGCCCUUUGUGUGAGGGCGAGGGGUACGGAGCCUUUCGCUCAGAGCGCAAACGUGCGUGGUGCCUCAGUGUAGCUCUCCUCAGACACACACGGCAUUUUUCCUAUACCACAACGUUCCCUCCCAUUCUAACAUCGGAAUCCAAACUGCGCCUUCACGCACGGGCAUCUCCAUUCCCUGGCAGCGAUUGUCUUUGGUUUUGGUGAGAAAGGAAAUAAUGGAACUUAGAGAGGAUGAAGUCUUUGAGCCAAUGUGAUCUGUGUGUGUCUGUGUGUGUGUCUGGAUCAGUGUGUGUCUGUGUGUGUGUGUGUCUGUGUGUGUCCGUGUGAUCUGUGUGUGUGUCUGUGUGUGUCCGUGUGAUCUGUUUUGUGUGUCUCUGUGUGUGUGUCUGUGUCUAUGUGUAUGUCUGUGUGUGUCAUGUGAUGUGUCUUGUGUGUGUGUCUGUGUGUGCAUGUGUAUGUCUGUGUGCAUGUGUGUGUGCAUGUGUGUCUGUGCGUGUGUGUCUCUGUGUGUCUGUGUCUGUGUCUGUGUGUGCAUGUGUGUGUCUGUGUGUCUGUGUGUCUACGUGUGUGUGUGUGUAGACGUGGGGGGGGGGUGUGCACUUUAUUUCCUCACGUGCCCCCGCUGCCUCCAGCAAGAGCCCCGGCCCAUGCCACUCACCGCGGAGCAGCUCCAGCAGGCUGCCCUUGGCCAUG
rnacentral:lncRNA from 1 species